CGAAAGCUCUUUCACGCCAAGGAAUGACUUGAACUGUGCAAAGAGUUCUGGAAAUUUCCUUGAAAAAUAAACACAUACAAACAGAAAAAUGAGCGUUAUCAUGUCAAAUCCCCUGUGAUAUUCUGUAUGAAUGACACCAGCCCCCAGCUCCACAUGACAACAGCAUGGCUCCGCAUGAGGCAGAGUCCUGCAGACAGAAAUUUGUUCAAGGAGGUCGGUCAACUCAAGGCUUCCAAAUUCCUGUAUGACUUGACACCUGGCAUGGGCAUAACACUUUGUUUGAUCAAAGGACAAUGUACUCCAAACACAUCUUUAAACUUCCUUUUGGCUUCAGUGAGGCUUCUCCAACCUCAUUCUCUAAACCAAUGCCUGAAGCAUUUGAAAAAGAAUGUGCCUGGAUGCUGAAGUGUUCCUGGAAGGGCUUGAGCUGAGCUGUGCACAAAGCCUGGGCUUGUUUUAUGUUUCCCCAUGUUCACAUUCACCUGAGGGAGGCUGAAUUUGGGGCAGCUUUUAUAGUAAGCCACAGUUCUCUAUAUACAAACAAUGUGUAAGAAUACAGGUUUCAAGUGGCCACAACAGUAAACCACAAUCUCUUACUCACAGGAAUUUUACCUGGUAA